rnacentral:misc_RNA from 1 species
CCCGAAGAAGGUGAUCCGCAAGGACUCGGCCAAGAAGACGGCAAAGAAGUCCCGCGUCAAGGCUUUCAUCAAGGUGGUCAACUACAACCACAUCAUGCCGACUCGGUACACGCUGGAUGUGGAUCUCAGGGAUGUGGUGACGGUGGAUGCGCUGCAGUCGAAGGACAAGAAGGUGACGGCGUGCAAGGAGACGAAGGCGAGGCUCGAGGAGCGCUUCAAGACCGGGAAGAACAGGUGGUUUUUUACUAAGCUCAGGUUCUAGAUCGGUAUCUAGGGUUUUGGGUUUUGAACUGCUAGUUAUGUUUGUUUCGUGUUUUAUGUUGUUUGGAUGAUUGAAUUUGUGGCUGAAUUUUCAGUUUUGAACCUUCUUUGGUAGUAAUCUAUGGG